UGGAGUUCUUUUACAACAAAAUAUGAAUUUGAGAUUUCGAUUUUUAGGCGUUUUAGCGUUUUGUUAUUCUUUAUUAAUGGCAGCUUUCUUUAAUAGUGUUCUUGCAAGCAUAAUGACUAAACCAAUGUUCAAUAGUGCUAUAAAAACCGGACGUGAUUUAAAUAACAGCGACGUACAAAUAUUUGGAGUAACAGAUGAUUAUAUAUAUUCACUUGACGAAAAAUUUUAUGGUGGAAUACUUGCUAAGUUUAAUGGAAUCAGACCAGAAGAAUUUGAAAAUGUAAUUCAAACAAC